rnacentral:rRNA from 1 species
UCGAGGAUCUUCGGCAAUGGGCGCAAGCCUGACCGAGCGACGCCGCGUGUGCGAUGAAGGCCUUCGGGUUGUAAAGCACUGUCGAGGGGGAGAAAAGCCGUAAGGCUUGAUCGACCUCUGGAGGAAGCACGGGCUAAGUUCGUGCCAGCAGCCGCGGUAAGACGAACCGUGCAAACGUUGUUCGGAAUCACUGGGCUUAAAGGGCGCGUAGGCGGGCAGGCAAGUCAGAGGUGAAAGCCCACGGCUCAACCGUGGAAGUGCCCCUGAUACUGCUUGUCUGGAGGGAGGUAGGGGCGUGCGGAACUUCCGGUGGAGCGGUGAAAUGCGUAGAUAUCGGAAGGAACACCGGUGGCGAAAGCGGCGCGCUGGACCUCUUCUGACGCUGAGGCGCGAAAGCUAGGGGAGCAAACGGGAUUAGAUACCCCCGUAGUCC